AAUGCUUGCAACCUGUUGUUUUCAAGUGUAGUAUUGGCCCACACGAUAUUAAUUAAUUUUUCAAGCGAGGGAAACCCAUCACAGUAGCUUGCUACUGGGGUCUUUGUGCAUCGCCCAUGUGUUGCACUACUGCAUGGGCCUGGCACACCCCAU
rnacentral:snRNA from 1 species